UUGGAGUCAGCCAUCUGGAUAUCAGCCUAUGACCAGUUCCGCUUGUUUUUACUGUGGACAGGCAGGACAUCGCAAGAGGGAUUGCCCGCAACGUGAACAGCAGAGCGGUCCCACCCAGAGGAGCGGAGUAACAUGUUUUCAUUGUGGGCAGUCUGGACACUAUAGGAGUGAGUGUCCACUCCUUACUGCUGCGGGUACAACUGGACAGGAGCUUGGGGCCCAGCAGGGGUAAAGCGGUAGAGGACAUGGUCAGACCCGGGGCGGGGCAUCUUCUUCUGCAGCCGGUUCUUCUUCAAGCAGCGGAGUUCAGUCCACUUUCCGUGGACGAGGCGGUAGGAGUCAGAGGGGUCAGCCAGGCGUGCUACUACUCAGGCCCGUGUUUUCUCCAUGACCCAGCAGGAGGCUUAGGCCACACCGGAUGUUAUCACUGGGGAUGUCCUGUUUGCGGACAUGGUAUUCAAGGGUUGUUAUGUCCAAGUGGGAGAUGCAAUGUUAGAAGCUGAUUUGAUUCCCUUAUAUUUGGUGGAUCUUGAUAUUAUCUUGGAAAUGGAUUGGUUAGAGAAGCAUCGGGCAUCAGUGGAUUGUUUCAGGAAGGAGGUAAUAUUUAGAAGUCCGGGACAACCUGAAGUCAUGUUCUGUGGAGAGCGUAGAGUUAUUCCUUCUUGUCUCAUCUCCGCCAUCACGGCAAAAAGGUUACUUAAGAAGGGAUGUGUGGGGUACUUAGCCCACAUCAUUGAUACUUAGGAGAUCACUUUGAAUCUAGAAGAUGUUCCUAUUGUUCGUGAGUUUCCGGAUGAUCUUCCUGGUUUGCAUCUGCGGAAUGCCGGAUAUCUUAGACGGGAUCCGUCCUGGUUUCCGAGGAAAUUUGGGGCGGGUCCUGUCAGAAAAAGUUUGGGAAUGUUUGGCAGCACUCUUAUGUGUUUCUUCUAUACUCUUAAUUGAUUAUAAUGGUGAUUUCAAUGAUUAGUUUUUUUUUAUAUCUCGUAUAUAUAUUUUUUUCUAAAAUGUGUUUCUUUGUUAAACUCAAAUGCCAGGGUUAAUAAUGAAGAAAUGUAUUGUCAAAUUGAAUUGGAAUAAUCAGGAAAUUGGAUUAUAUUUAUAAAUAAAUAAUAAAAAAACACAAACACAGAUACGGCGUGCAAAACGCGCCGUAAAUAUGUAUCAAAUAAAGCUUUUAUGUCGCGCCAAAAGAGCCGUGUAAUGUAUACCAAUUAAAGCGUGCAAAAUGCGCCGCAAAUAGUUGUCCAAACCUGAUACGAGAACUCAAUCAUGGCGCACCUUAUUAACGCUUGUGGCAAGCGAAUGCACGCCGUAAAAAGAAAAGGCUUUUUACGGCUUGGCCUUUCGUAGCACGCAGCCGCACGCCGUGAAUUAUCAUUUACGGCGCACAACACACGCCGUAAAUACCCAAUUUUCUUGUAGUGAUUGAUAAGAUUGGCUUCAUUUUGGAAACACCACAAAUGGUAUAACAUAUUGCUAGUAUUAAAGCCAAAUGGUUCAUGGUUUUGGGGCUUAUUAGUUUCAUUUUGAAAUUGCGGAUGUUUAUUUGUAUGUAUUAAUGGUAGAAUUGUGUGUAGUGAACUGAACCUUUAAUUUCUAAGUCAUGUAGAUGACUUUGGCAUAAAUGAAGAAUUUCUAACUUCUGCAUAUAUGAAAUGUACAUGUCAAUUUGGUUUGGAGGAAAA